AUUGAACGCUGGCGGCAGGCUUAACACAUGCAAGUCGAGCGGGGGAAGGUAGCUUGCUACCGGACCUAGCGGCGGACGGGUGAGUAAUGCUUAGGAAUCUGCCUAUUAGUGGGGGACAACAUCUCGAAAGGGAUGCUAAUACCGCAUACGUCCUACGGGAGAAAGCAGGGGAUCUUCGGACCUUGCGCUAAUAGAUGAGCCUAAGUCGGAUUAGCUAGUUGGUGGGGUAAAGGCCUACCAAGGCGACGAUCUGUAGCGGGUCUGAGAGGAUGAUCCGCCACACUGGGACUGAGACACGGCCCCGACUCCUACGGGAGGCAGCAGUGGGGAAUAUUGGACAAUGGGGGGAACCCUGAUCCAGCCAUGCCGCGUGUGUGAAGAAGGCCUUAUGGUUGUAAAGCACUCUAAGCGAGGAGGAGGCUACUCUAGUUAAUACCUAGGGAUAGUGGACGUUACUCGCAGAAUAAGCACCGGCUAACUCUGUGCCAGCCGCCGCGGUAA
rnacentral:rRNA from 1 species